rnacentral:rRNA from 1 species
AGCUUGCUCCUGGAUUCAGCGGCGGACGGGUGAGUAAUGCCUAGGAAUCUGCCUGGUAGUGGGGGACAACGUUUCGAAAGGAACGCUAAUACCGCAUACGUCCUACGGGAGAAAGCAGGGGACCUUCGGGCCUUGCGCUAUCAGAUGAGCCUAGGUCGGAUUAGCUAGUUGGUGAGGUAAUGGCUCACCAAGGCGACGAUCCGUAACUGGUCUGAGAGGAUGAUCAGUCACACUGGAACUGAGACACGGUCCAGACUCCUACGGGAGGCAGCAGUGGGGAAUAUUGGACAAUGGGCGAAAGCCUGAUCCAGCCAUGCCGCGUGUGUGAAGAAGGUCUUCGGAUUGUAAAGCACUUUAAGUUGGGAGGAAGGGUUGUAGAUUAAUACUCUGCAAUUUUGACGUUACCGACAGAAUAAGCACCGGCUAACUCUGUGCCAGCAGCCGCGGUAAUACAGAGGGUGCAAGCGUUAAUCGGAAUUACUGGGCGUAAAGCGCGCGUAGGUGGUUUGUUAAGUUGGAUGUGAAAUCCCCGGGCUCAACCUGGGAACUGCAUCCAAAACUGGCAAGCUAGAGUAUGGUAGAGGGUGGUGGAAUUUCCUGUGUAGCGGUGAAAUGCGUAGAUAUAGGAAGGAACACCAGUGGCGAAGGCGACCACCUGGACUGAUACUGACACUGA